rnacentral:rRNA from 1 species
AGAGUUUGAUCCUGGCUCAGAUUGAACGCUGGCGGCAUGCUUUACACAUGCAAGUCGGACGGCAGCACAGAGAAGCUUGCUUCUUGGGUGGCGAGUGGCGAACGGGUGAGUAACAUAUCGGAACGUACCGAGUAGUGGGGGAUAACUGAUCGAAAGAUCAGCUAAUACCGCAUACGUCUUGAGAGGGAAAGCAGGGGACCUUCGGGCCUUGCGCUAUUCGAGCGGCCGAUAUCUGAUUAGCUGGUUGGUGGGGUAAAGGCCCACCAAGGCGACGAUCAGUAGCGGGUCUGAGAGGAUGAUCCGCCACACUGGGACUGAGACACGGCCCAGACUCCUACGGGAGGCAGCAGUGGGGAAUUUUGGACAAUGGGCGCAAGCCUGAUCCAGCCAUGCCGCGUGUCUGAAGAAGGCCUUCGGGUUGUAAAGGACUUUUGUCAGGGAAGAAAAGGCUGUUGCUAAUAUCAGCGGCUGAUGACGGUACCUGAAGAAUAAGCACCGGCUAACUACGUGCCAGCAGCCGCGGUAAUACGUAGGGUGCGAGCGUUAAUCGGAAUUACUGGGCGUAAAGCGGGCGCAGACGGUUACUUAAGCAGGAUGUGAAAUCCCCGGGCUCAACCUGGGAACUGCGUUCUGAACUGGGUGACUCGAGUGUGUCAGAGGGAGGUAGAAUUCCACGUGUAGCAGUGAAAUGCGUAGAGAUGUGGAGGAAUACCGAUGGCGAAGGCAGCCUCCUGGGAUAACACUGACGUUCAUGCCCGAAAGCGUGGGUAGCAAACAGGAUUAGAUACCCUGGUAGUCCACGCCCUAAACGAUGUCAAUUAGCUGUUGGGCAACUUGAUUGCUUGGUAGCGUAGCUAACGCGUGAAAUUGACCGCCUGGGGAGUACGGUCGCAAGAUUAAAACUCAAAGGAAUUGACGGGGACCCGCACAAGCGGUGGAUGAUGUGGAUUAAUUCGAUGCAACGCGAAGAACCUUACCUGGUCUUGACAUGUACGGAAUCCUCCAGAGACGGAGGAGUGCCUUCGGGAGCCGUAACACAGGUGCUGCAUGGCUGUCGUCAGCUCGUGUCGUGAGAUGUUGGGUUAAGUCCCGCAACGAGCGCAACCCUUGUCAUUAGUUGCCAUCAUUCAGUUGGGCACUCUAAUGAGACUGCCGGUGACAAGCCGGAGGAAGGUGGGGAUGACGUCAAGUCCUCAUGGCCCUUAUGACCAGGGCUUCACACGUCAUACAAUGGUCGGUACAGAGGGUAGCCAAGCCGCGAGGUGGAGCCAAUCUCACAAAACCGAUCGUAGUCCGGAUUGCACUCUGCAACUCGAGUGCAUGAAGUCGGAAUCGCUAGUAAUCGCAGGUCAGCAUACUGCGGUGAAUACGUUCCCGGGUCUUGUACACACCGCCCGUCACACCAUGGGAGUGGGGGAUACCAGAAGUAGGUAGGAUAACCGCAAGGGGUCCGCUUACCACGGUAUGCUUCAUGACUGGGGUGAAGUCGUAACAAGGUAGCCGUAGGGGAACCUGCGGCUG